UACGGAGGGUGCAAGCGUUAAUCGGAAUUACUGGGCGUAAAGCGCACGCAGGUGGCUGAGUCAGUCGAUUGUGAAAGCCCUGGGCUUAACCUGGGAAUUGCAGUCGAUACUACUCGGCUUGAGUAUGGGAGAGGGCAGUGGAAUUCCUGGUGUAGCGGUGAAAUGCGCAGAUAUCAGGAAGAACACCAAUGGCGAAGGCAGCUCUCUGGGACGGUACUGACGCUGAGACGCGAAAGCGUGGGGAGCGAACAGG
rnacentral:rRNA from 1 species